rnacentral:lncRNA from 1 species
GUCUAUUUGUAAGGUUUUUAUUUGUUCUUCAUGCUUAAACUUGUUGGGUAAAGUCCUUUUCCAACUGACUUUUAGUUUGUACUUAUAUUGUGCUGAUACACCACUUGUUUGGUGCUCAAAAGCAAGUUAAUGUGUCUAUCCAAAGUAAGGAGGUUGUCAUUUAGCAAGUUGAUGUGUCUAUCCAAAGUAAGGAGGGGUGCUCAAAAGCAAGUUAAUGUGUCUAUCCAAAGUAAGGAGGGGUGCUCAAAAGCAAGUUAAUGUGUCUAUCCAAAGUAAGGAGGUUGCCAUUUAGCAAGUUAA